rnacentral:rRNA from 1 species
GUGCCAGCCGCCGCGGUAAUACCGGUGGCUCGAGUAGUGGCCGCUAUUAUUGGGUCUAAAGGGUCCGUACCGGCCUGAUAAGUUACCUGGGAAAUCCGGUGGCCUAACCAUCGUGGCGGCCAGGUAAUACUAUCAGGCUCGGGACUAGGAGAGACCAGAGGUACUCAUGAGGUAGAGUGAAAUCCUGUAAUCUUAUGAGGACCACCAGUGGUGAAGACGUCUGGUUAGAAUAGGUCCGACGGUGAGGGACGAAGGCUGGGGGCGCAAACCGGAUUAGAUACCCGGGUAGUCCCAGCAGUAAACGAUGCCAGCUAUGUGUUGCUGGAACCAUGGGUUCCAGCAGUGCCGAAGGGAAGCCGUGAAGCUGGCCACCUGGGAAGUACGGUCGCAAGGCUGAAACUUAAAGGAAUUGGCGGGGGAGUACCACAAGCCGGUGGAGCCUGCGGUUUAAUUGGAUACAACGCCGGGAAUACUUACCGGAGGGGACAGCAGUAUGAAGGCCAGGCUAAAGACCUUGCCAGAUCAGCUGAGAGGAGGUGCAUGG